GAUGAAGAACGUAGCGAAAUGCGAUAAGUAGUGUGAAUUGCAGAAUUCAGUGAAUCAUCGAAUCUUUGAACGCACAUUGCGCCUCCUGGUAUUCCGGGAGGCAUGCCUGUUCGAGCGUCAUUAAAAUCACUCAAGCUUAGGUUUACCUAUUGCUUGGUCUUGGAGAUGGAAGCCAAUUUAUUGGAAUCCUCUUCGAAAUUCAAUGGCGAAGACCCUUGCUCUCCCAAGUGUAGUAAUAACUUAUGUCACUGAAGGAAGCGAGAAAUCUUCUGCCGUAACCCCCACAUUUUCUAUGAUUGACCUCGGAUCAGGUAGGGAUACCCGCUGAACUUAAGCAUAUCAAUAAGCGGAGGA
rnacentral:misc_RNA from 1 species